AGUUUUGGUUGAAGUUUGAGCGAAAUCAUUGUUGGACAUGGAGGUUGAGCCACGCGAGGAAGACGAUGAGAAUUCUGGAAAUUUUUCCAGUUUGAUCCGCUACAGUGCAAGGCAAUUUUCAAAUCGUGUUUGCCGCGCGGAAACCAGCCAAUCGCGUGCCUCCACCGCAUUAGUUAAACGACCGUGUUUUGGUCUGGGAAGGGAUAAUUACCACUUUGCCAUUGAAUCCAUUUAAU
rnacentral:lncRNA from 1 species